rnacentral:rRNA from 1 species
UCGAGAAUCUUCGGCAAUGGGCGAAAGCCUGACCCAGCAACGCCGCGUGUGGGAUGAAGGCCCUCGGGUCGUAAACCACUGUCAGGAGGAAAGAAAAGUCGGCCGGAUAAUACUCGGUCGACCUGACGGUACCUCCAAAGGAAGCGCCGGCUAACUCCGUGCCAGCAGCCGCGGUAAGACGGAGGGCGCAAGCGUUGUUCGGAAUUACUGGGCGUAAAGCGCGGGCAGGCGGUCUGUUAAGUCGUUUGUGAAAAUCCGGGGCUCAACCCCGGAAAUGCAUACGAUACUGGCUGGCUGGAGACUGGUAGAGGCUAGCGGAAUUCCUGGUGUAGCGGUGAAAUGCGUAGAUAUCAAGAGGAACACCUGAGGUGAAGACGGGUUGCUGGGCUGACACUGACGCUGAGGCGCGAAAGCCAGGGGAGCAAACGGGAUUAGAUACCCCAGUAGUCCCUGAGCGGGCUGGCAAGGCGCAU